AGAGAGAGACAUGCGCGCAUAUCAAUAAGCGGAGGAAAAGAAACUAACAAGGAUUCCCCUAGUAACGGCGAGUGAAGCGGGAAGAGCUCAAAUUUGAAAUCUUCAAGGGUUUACCUUUACGAAUUGUAGUUUAAAGAAGUGUUUUCUGUUGAGGUUUCGGUAAAAGUUCUUUGGAAUAGGACAUCAUAGAGGGUGAGAAUCCCGUAUUUGACCUUUACUUUCAACUUUGUGAUACACUUUCAAAGAGUCGGAUUGUUUGGGAAUGCAGUCCAAAAUGGGUGGUAAAUUUCAUCUAAAGCUAAAUAUUGGCGAGAGACCGAUAGCGAACAAGUACCGUGAGGGAAAGAUGAAAAGAACUUUGAAAAGAGAGUUAAACAGUACGUGAAAUUGUCAAAAGGGAAGCGUUUGACACCAGUGUUGUUUUUCUGAAAAUCAAUUAAAGAACUGUUUAUGCUAAGUUGUUUAGACUUUAUCAGCUAACUGUUUAGUUUUGAGCUUUUCUUUAAUGCACUUUUCAGUUAACAAGUCAACAUCAAUUUCUUUUGCUGUAAAAAAGCUUGAGGAAGGUGGCUUGAGAUUCGUCUUAAGUGUUUAUAGCCUCUUGCCUAUGCAGUCGGAGAGAUUGAGGUCUGCAGCGUAGAUCCUUCGGGGCUAAAUGCAUUUGUGCUAAGUUAUAGCAUUUUAUAGACAACUUGUUGACUAUGAUUUGUCUUGUAGCUUACUCGCUUAUGUUAUUUUACCUACGCUUAGGAUGUUGAGCGCAUGUCUCUCUCU
rnacentral:rRNA from 1 species